rnacentral:rRNA from 1 species
GCUGGAAUUGCUAGUAAUGGCAGGUCAGCAUACUGCCGUGAAUACGUUCCCGGGCCCUUGUACACACCGCCCGUCACACCAUGAGAGUUGGGGAUACCCGAAGCCUGUGAGCUAACUAUUUAUAGGAGCAGCAGUCGAAGGUAGAAUCAAUGAUUGGGGUGAAGUCGUAACAAGGUACC